CUUCCUUCCUUCCUUCCUUCCUUCCUUCCUUCCUUCCUUCCUCUCUCUCUUUCUUUCUUUCUUUCUUUCCUUUUUUUUUUUUGAGACAGAGUCUCACUCUGUCAACCAGACUGGAGUGCAGUGGCGUGAUCUCGGCUCACUGCAACCUCCACCUCGUGGGUUCAAGUGAUUCUCCUGCCUCAGCUUCCCCAGUAGUUGGAGGCAAGACAGGGUUUCAGCAAGUUGGUCAGGCUGGUCUUGAAAGCCUGACCUUGUGAUCUGCCCACCUUGGGCCCCCAAAGUGCUGGGAUUACAGGCAUGAGCCACCGCGCCCAGCUCCUUUUUCACUUUCUAAGAUCAAGUGAAUCAAUUUCAGGCCCAUUUUAAAUUGCAGACUGACCAGCCUGUCUUUAGGUUUCUAUGUCACUGCCUCAUUCAGGUCCUUCUCCCGUCUCUCUGCCAGUUUUCUCUCUCCUUCCUGCUGGUGUUUCUUCUCCAUCUUGCCUCCAGCUAUAAGUACUCCCUGUGUUGUUUCCCUUGGUGUAUUUUCUCACUGUACACGCUACAUACUUUCAGACAAUUCAUCCACUCUGGCAGCUUAAGUUGCCCUUUCUAUGACAAUGUCUCUCAUGUUUAGAUCUGCUGUUGACAGAAUGCCCUCUGUGCUGCCACCCUCCUAUGCCAUCCUUACAUUAAAACAACCACUCAUUCACAAAGUGACCACAACCCUGAGAGGCAGUAAAGUAGGAGGCCUUUGCCACUGACUUGUUACUCGAAGUUCCGAAGGUCUCCAACAGCUUAGAACAGCGAUUUUCAAACUUAAGAUUUCACCAGAAUUUACCUAGAAGGGUUGUUGAAAGAUGAUUUGCUUGACUCUAUCCCCAGAGUUUUUUGAUUUGAUAAGUCUGUGGUGGGUCCAAGAAUUUGUAUUUCUAACAAGUUCCCAGGUGAUGCUGAUGCUGCUACUUCAGGGACAAUGCUUUGAGCAUCGCUAGCUUAGAAAAUGGUUUUUAGGAGAACCACCCAGCAACCCAGCCACAGCUCGCCUUCCCCAGCCACCAUGAACCACACUGGCCAAACCUUCACUCCCGCCAACACUGACCGUCCCCCCAACUAUGAGAUGCUGAAGGAGGAGCAUGAGGUGGCUGCAAUGUGGGCACCCCACAACCCUGCUCCCCAAUGUCCACCAUGAUCCACAUCCACAGCAAGACCUCCGUGCCCAUGUCGUCUGGUCCCUGUUCAACACCCUCUUCAUGAACUCUGCUGCCGGGGCUUCAUAGUGGUCACCUACUCCAUCAAGUCCAGGGACAGGAAGAUGGUUGGCGACCUGACCGGAGCGCAGGCCUACGCCUCCACUGCCAAGUGCCUGAACGUCUGGGCCCUGAAUUGGGGCAUCAUCAUGACCAUUCUGCUUAUCAUCAUCCCAACACUGAUUCCGCAAGCAUAUCAAUAGAUCCAGAGGAAUCAUCAAGGCCAGGGGCUCUGCCCAUGACCUGUUUUCCACGUACUCCCUCCCCCUUCCAUUCCCUGCCCUGCCCCCAAGCCGAGCCCUGUAUCACCCCUUUAUCCUACAAUGGCAUUCAAUAAAGUGCACAUGUUCCUGGAAGAGAAAAAUAAUAAAGAAAGAAAGAGAGAGAGAAAAAGAAAGAAAAGAUGGUUUUAAACAUAGCUGCACACCAGAAUCACUAGAAUAGCCUUUUGAAAAUUACUGUUCCUCAGGACACACUACUGCCCUAUUAAAUCAAAAUAUCUGAUAAUGGGAUCCCCAGUUAAUUCUAACAUGCAAUCAUAGUUAAGGUACAGAUGUUUAGAAGUAGAAGAAAGGAAAUCCCGCUGAGAAAAGCAAUAGCUUUGGUUAGGGGUUUGCCCCAUGGUUUCCUCAAAGGUCCAUUAAUUCCAUAAAAUGAUAAGCAAAAAGUUUGUGUGUAACCGGGGAGGAAGUGCAUAGCCUUCAACAUAGUCUCCAGAGGAUCUGUGACUGUAUCACCCAAAUUAAAAGUUGCUAAGGAAGCUGAUUCUCAGGGAGGCCUGGCCUGCUUACGCAAUUUCUUACAUCCCAUACACAUCACCAUCACCUGUGUUUCAAACUCCAUUCUGUUCGUGCAUUAAGGCUUCUGUGAGAAAUAGCUGCUUUACUUUGCAUAGCUUCAAGGCUUGAAACGUUUAUCCCUGCAGAUGCACUCAGGUUAAUAAGCAUUUGUUUCAAACUGCUUAUUAAGAAGAAGAAUCCAACAUCUAUCCAUCAUUGACAUGUUGACAAGAAUCACUUUAUCUAGAUUGGUUUUAUGUUACCAUAUGUUCUAAAGUAAUAGGUAUUUUGAAUGAACAGAGAAGGGGAGCAUGAAGAACACUGACAGUCUAGGUAGAGCCCCACGGAGAGGUUUCCGAAAAACAAAAACCAAAGAAAAACCAGGACAGUGGGAGCCUGAAGAUUGAGAAGGGCAUCCGACUCAAUGAGAUGUGUGUGAAGAAAAAUCAGUGUACACCAAGAGUAAUUUUUAAUUAUGGUGCCUGAGACUCAUUGUAUGCUGAAGAAACUAAUAGAAAAUCAUCUUCCUUCUUCUUUUCUUACCCCAUAUUCCUCAUAUACAGAUUCCUCAUAGUCAUUAACUAAGGACUAACAUGAUCUCUACUAGUGGGGUCAGUUUUGAGUAAUGUAAGGCAUGGGAGCCUUAGAACAUAGACAAUUGCAGUUGAUACGCAGUAUCAUAGAGCUCCAUUCCCAGCUCUGCCAUUCAAUGUCUAGGUGGCCCGGGCAACUGUUCACCUCUCUAAGUCCAAGUUUCCUAUCUGUAAAAUGGCAAUGAUAAUACCCACCUCAUGAGGUUAUCGUGAAAAAGGAAAUGAAAUAAUUUUAAUACUUAUUACAGUGCUUCAAACUACCUAGUGUUCCAUAAAUGGCUGUGUCACCAUGACUCAGCUAAAUUAUGAUCAAAUAGGCAUUUUUUGGACUGGCCUAAAAAUAUAACUGUGUAUCAGUUGCAAUUGCCUAUGUUCCAAGUGAUUGGCUUUGAGAUAGAUAAUCUUCACUAUGAAAACACUUAAAUACUCACUUUACAUUCUCAAUUUACUUUUUUUUUUUUUUUUUUGAGACGGAGUUUCACUCGUUACCCGGGCUGGAGUGCAAUGGCGCGAUCUUGGCUCACCGCAACCUCCGCCUCCUGGGUUCAGGCAAUUCUCCUGCCUCAGCCUCCUGAGUAGCUGGGAUUACAGGCACGCACCACCAUGCCCAGCUAAUUUUUUGUAUUUUUAGUAGAGACGGGGUUUCACCAUGUUGACCAGGAUGUUCUCGAUCUGUUGACCUCGUGAUCCACCUGCCUCGGCCUCCCAAGGUGCUGGGAUUACAGGCGUGAGCCACCGCGCCCGGCCUUUCAAUUUACUUUUUAAAGGAAUUGCUUGUUGUUCCAACUGCCAAUUCUUUUUCUUUAAGAUGCUCAGCUACCAUCUUAAUCUCACAGCUAACAGAAACUCCUCCCUGAAAUGAGAGUUUCUUAGGAACAAGGAUCGUGCCUUUAUCAAAUAACCAUUAAUUGAGCAUCUAUAUGUUGAUAAUUGGACAUAAAAAAGAUAUAUAUAAUUAGCUCCUUUCCUCAUGGGGCUUAACUUCUACCUGGGAAAAAUAAUAUGCAAAUGCAGUUCAAGAUUAUGUCUUAUAAUAAACUCUUGAGUAUAGUGAAAGAACAGAUUUAUUUUAUCUCAUGUGAUAAGGAAAUCUUCAUAAGAGAGGUGGCAUUAGAACUGAGCCAAAUGUAUAUCAAAGUCAAUAAUAAUUCCAUCACCUUGGAAGACAGAGAUGGAAGGAUCACUUGAAGCCAGAAGUUUGAGACCAGCCUGGGAAACACAGCAAGACCCCUGUCUCUACCAAAAUAAAUAAAUAAAAAUAAAAUUAGCCAGGCAUGGUGGUACAUCUUUGUAGUCCUUGCUAUUCAGGAGGCUGAGGCAGGGUGAUCACUUGACACAGGAGUCUGAGGUUACAGUGAGUUAUGAGCAUACCACGGCACUGCAGCCUGGGUGACAGAGCAAAACCUUGUAUCCAAUACUAAUAAUAAUAAUGUGUAAAAAACAUGUAGGAAUAGAGAGACCUGCAUGGGUGCCACUGCAGGACAAGAUUCCUAAGUGUAGUAUGGCGCAGUUGGACCUUGAAUACCUAGGAUGAAGACAGAAGAUGAAAUGUCAUGGCGUGCAUCUAGGCAUGUAUGUAAUAGUAAGAAAUAUUAUUAAUAAAUAGUAAUGUUAGAGAGGUUCUACCAUGAAACUGUAUUUUGCCAAGCCCUGGGAACUGAGCAGGGAAGUUUAGACUUCAUGAAAUAAGCAAAAAAAAAAAAAAUUGAAGAAGAAGAAAAAAGAUAGGAUUUCAAUAUGAAUUUGGAAAGAAAUUAUUUUUUGAAAAAAUAAAAAAAGAUAAAGAUUGAGGCUAAAUGUCGAGGCUAAAAGAUCGAGACUAAAGCAUCUUGAAUCAGUGUUACUAAUGCAGCUAUGACCUGUGGUAGGUCCAGAGGAGUAUGCGUUUAGAGAUUAACUAUAGAUAUAAAUAUGAUAUUUUAUAAAUGUCACCUGGGAUGUCUGAAGAAUAAUAUCACUGACAAAUAUAGCAAAGAUAAUGUGAAAGAUUAUGAAUCAUUUUUACGUGAACAAAAUUUAGUGUCAUCUUGAUGCCAAGUAUUUGAAAAUACAUAACGUUUCAUGUGUAUGUAUCGACAUAACCUGUACACCUUCAUUCAGCAUUUAUUUCCCACACUUAUAUCUUGUUUCCAAAAAUAAAUUACCUUCUUCUGCUGGGCAGAAUCUCACCCGUAUUUCUCAUUCAUUCUAUAGCGUCUACCAUGUAAAAAACCAUAAAGUUGGUUAUUAUUUGGUUAGAUAACUGAGGCCAGAAAUAGAAAAAAACUAACCCAUCUUAGAUGGAAUAGCUAGUGAAUAAAAAUUAUUUUUUCCUAAUAAUAUUGAUGGAGUGGGAAAAGUUUAACUGUGCCAAAUAAUUCUACACAAUAAAACUAUAGUUCAUUUUUUUUAAUUUUUAGAAAAUGGUUUUUAGGAGAACCAUUAAAAAAAAUAUGCAGUAGAACAAAUUUGAUGAACCUGAAACAUCAAGGGAAAUAGUGAAAAAUCAUGCUUCUCAACUACUCUGGUGUGUGUAGUUUUUUUCCACUUUAAAAAUGUGAUCUUAAAGUGGGGGUGGGGGAAUAAGACAGUAAAUCAGCCCAAUCUUUUAUAGCAGUAUCUUUACUUCCCUUAGAAAACAUGAUUUUAAUUGCACAGGGAUAGCAAAAGGAUAUUUGAAUCCCUCUCCCUGACAAGAUUCAAGGCUUUCAUUUACAGUAAAUUUACAUUUACAGUAAAUUUAGAUGUGGAGGUAGAAUUUAAAGCUCUUGUCCAUCAACAUGUAAUGAAUGAAUAUGGCACUGACAUAAUAGCAUUUUUUUGAGCACUGUUAGAGCAAGGGAGUCCUCCCAGUGCUAAAGAAAAAAGGAAGCUAAUAAAUUUAAGGGUGUUUCACUUUCAAUUAAAAUAAAAAAACACCUAGUCGAAAUAAGUUGAAACUCCGUGUUUAGAAUCUAUGUUGUUUCUCUAAUGUUCAGGAAUGGUUAAGGCAGGAAGGAGAAUCUCAAGGUCACCAGGAAUAGUCCUCAGAGUAUUCUUAUAGGGCUUAUCUGUGCCCACAUGCCUGAUUUUUUCCAAGUGUAAAGAAUGGCCACUUGCUUGAGACAGGCCCAGUGCCAUCCUUUAUUCAAGUUCCUUUAUACUCCUCUUUUUAAAGAAGCUGUCAAGUUCUUUUUUUGUAGCUGACAGGAAAGGCCAAAUCUCUGGUACAGGAAAGGAGGCCAAAAAAGAAACUUUUUUGUGUUGAUGUUUUACUAAGUGAGCUAAGGAGAAUUUUAGAAUCAUGCAGUUUACUAUGGAGGCAUUUACUGUACAUAGCUAUAGUGAUGGUAAUUUCUUUCAUUGUUGAAGUGAAAAGAUAACCAUCAAUCAGUUGUCAAUUGGUCAAUUGCAGAAGUGAUGAAAAGAAACUGGUAGGAACAAUCACUUCUGUGGCUACCUAGACCAGUUGGGGGCAUAAGAAAAGUAUGGGAACUGGAUUGCGUUUUAAAAAGGGAUUGGACCAGAUUUUCAAGAAGGUUAAUAGGCAUAACUUCCUUGUAAAGAAUGGCUUUGCAGUAUGCACAAUCAGGAAAUGCAUUUUUUAAAUGAAAAAUUUAAAAGACAAUGAAAAGUUUAAAAGUAAAAAUUAAUUAUUUAACUAGAGCAAGUAAAUAAGCCCAGAAAAUCUUGAAUUUCAGUGUGAUCUUAAUGGAGGAAUAAAUAUAGUUUACUAAUAACCCAACACAUGUAUUUAAAACAAAUUAAUGAAAAUUACUUUGUACUCAUGCCUUAGGUUCUAACCUCAGGCACUUUGAGAUAAAUGACUUUCCAAGUAUUUAUUAUGAGGAAUAGAACACCCAAGUUAAUUGUGAGCAUUGUCUUUAAGCAAAUAUUUACAGAUAAUUUAAUUUUUUCAGAACUAUGAAAGUUCAUAUAAAGGUUAAGAUAAGAACAAUUUAAAAAAUCAUUAACUUGCAUAAAAGGCAAAUAGCACUUUGGGACUUAGUGAUGUAAGCAAGAUUUCCUUUUAAUUUAUCCUAUUUUCCUAUGAAUGGCAAUGUUAUUGAUUUAUUCUGAGAGAGUUCCCCACACACAGUGAUUUUUUUUUUUUUUUUUUUUUACUGUGGUAGGUAAUAAAAAGGAUUACAGGCCCCCAGAAGGAUGAGAUAUCAUCAGUUUGUAAUCCAGCCCAUGGUUUCCUAGAUACCGUAUUGUCUAUUCUGUUCCGCUAUGUGAAAAAUGUUGAAUAUCAACAAUGGGUUUCAGUGCUGUAUUGUUGAGUUUUGUAUGAACUAAUCUAGCUUCCCUAAAAAAAAAAAAAAGAAAGAAAGAAAGAAAAGAAAAGAAAGAAAGAAGAAAAAAAGAAAAGAAAAAAAAGAACCACAGCUUUGGACAAAAGUCUAUAGCCAGUGCAUUUGAAACUCCCCUUGCACCAGGGCUGACUGUAGCUGGGGGAAGACAUUUUACUCAUUUGCUCUCUCCUUUAACACAGUCAGCUGGUCCCUCUUCUCAGGUGUAGAUCACCUAUUAUAAUUUUACCUAAUUCUGAUAAGGAAACUCCCAGGACUUACCAGCUGGGAUAGGCCUCACUUACAAGACAGCUCUGUUCAGUAUUUGGAAGAAAGCCUGGCAGGUUUCUUCGGAAAAGUGGCCAUCCAUGGAAUGAAUGAAAUGUUCUCUUUCUAUUCCAACUACCAAUAACAUUUUUGCUCGGCCUCAAGAGACCAUCAAAAAACAAUAGCUCGUAAUGCUUUCAGAACAGAAACUGAAGUUGUGUACUGUACAUGUGCCAUUCUACACAAGAAGAAGGCCGUGUUUAAAGCUGCUGUUGCCUCUUAGGAAAAAAACUGGAAUUCUGAGUCAAGUAUGUAUGCAUUUUCUGUUUUCCUGUCUUGUGGGUCUUUAUGGUGAAAAGCAUUUUUAUGAAAUUGCUGUCUGCUUCUUUAAGCUUCCUGUGGUCUUGUUUGCUUGUUCUCAGAUCUCAAACCCUGCCAUAGUUAGGAAACAUCUUGAGUUGCUAAAAGUAAAAGACAUUGUAUUUUGUUUGUGAGCUGAAGAGCAGGACAAGCAAUGUCUUCAGAAACAAAGGUCUUAUUUUAUAUAAAAAAGUUUCUUUUUAUUAUAAGCUACAGUGAGGAAUGAUUUCAGGACAAUGAGACACAAACUAUUGCUUGGAAGCUGUAAUGUUGUAGCUGCCUACAUAGCUGAAAUGGAGCAGACUGGUUUCCUUUUCUAGGCCUGUUUGGUCAGUUUAAACUGUCUUAAUGGCUAAUAAAACCCUGAAGAGUCAUCUCAGGAUUUCAGUUACCAGCCUACAGUGGACUGAUGAUCCAUUGAACAGCAGCAAAGCAAUAUUUAAUGUCACUUUAUGCACCACAAACACAGACUGAGACACUCUCAAACGGUGAAGAGCAUGGGCUUCCAGUCAGAUCCGCCUGGAUGUGAGCUCCGGUUGUAGCACUUGCUAACCGUGUGAUCUUGGGCAACGUAACUUCAUGAAGUCUACUUCUUCAUCUAUAUGAUGGGAAUGAGGCCAGAUUUCAUCCGAGUAAGAUACAUUUUUUUCACAUUUUAACAUCUCUGACAUUAGAAUGCAUGUUAGAACUGAUGGUGUGUCUUCAUCCAAUUGCCAACACUUUAUGUUUUCUUACUAGUGCAUAAUUGUGUAAUUACAACCUAUGACAUUAGAGAUUCAAUUAAAUAAUUGACAUAUACCUCAUCGAGUUGUUUUGAGAUAUAAAUAAAAUAAUGACGUAGAACCUUAUGGCCUGUAACACCUGCCCCAUAGAAGACUUCUAGUAAAGAAUGCCAAUUAAUGUUAUACACCGUGAUGUUUGCAAACUCUGGCAUUUUCCUGUCUUGUUAGUCAUAAUUGAUGUUUGCCAACACUAAAAGUUAAUUUAUUUGCAAAAUCUUCUUGUUGGAACAGUCUGCCUAUGGAGUAGCUCAUCAAAUUUCCUCUAAUUGUUCUGGCAGCGUGGCAUUGACCCUCCGGGUUUAAAUGUGAAGUAUGCUCGAAAUGAAGGUUUUGUGAAAGCCCGUAUUGACUUGUCAGAUGAGUUGUUUGCAGACAAAAAGCAGAGUAUGUAGUGAGCAUGCUCCAACAGUUCCUGGCCCAUAGGAAGCACUAUGGAUGUGGUGUCAAGAGGCAGCAGCCUGCAUGGUGGUUAAAGGAGUGGGCUCUCCAGCCAAAUGGGCUGCAUUCAAAUCCUGGCUUUUCCCCCUACAAGCCGUGUAACUUUGGACAGAUCACCACUCUGUGGCCUCCCUGUUCUCACGCAGUUGUGAGAACUGAAUAAGCUAAUAUACUGAAAGCAAUUGUACAUAAAAGAUGCUAUGUAAGUUUUCUGCUCUUAGAGGAAAUAUACCUUUCCUGUAUUUAAGUUCCUUUAAAAGGUCUGAGUUUUUUUUAUACUGAAAGGGAAUAUUCCAAUACAUUUUCUUUUUUUUUUGAGACAGUCUGUGUCACCCAGGCUGGAGUACAGUGGCACCAUCUCCGCUCACUGCAACCCCCACGUCCUGGGUUCAAGCGAUUCUCCUGCCUCAGCUUUCUGAGUAGCUGGGAUUACAAGCAUGAGUCACCAUGCCUGACUAAUUAUUGUAUUUUUAGCAGAAAUGAGGUUUCACCAUGUUCACCGGGCUGAUCUUGAACACCUGACCUCAAGUGAUCUGCAUGCCUCAGCCUCUCAAAGUGCUGGAAUUACAGGCAUGAGUCACUGUGCCCAGCCAAUCAGUGUACUUUUCAAGCAGGUGAUUAUUAAAAUUCUGACUGUGAGAGGCUUGUACUGCAUAAAACACAUAACCUAUAAACAUGCCUUUGAGAUAGUUGUGAUAAUGGGGCACAGCUGUUGAAACUGAUCUAUCUAGCAGUAAACAUAUGACUGAAAACAAAGUAUCAGGUAAGUCUGAGAUUGCUUCUCACAACCUCUGCGGUGUCUGUAUAAUAUUAUCUUGUAUGGCUUAAAAUCCAGUUGGUAUAGGUCAGCCCAUACUCCCAGAUUCCUAUGCCUAGGAUUUUCAGAAGGACCUCCUUCUAGUAUUUAUUCACUGGUAACCCAUAUUGUUCUUAUCUUUUAAGGUUGUAAACAUGAUUACUCUGCUGGAAUAACUAUGGCCAUCAAGCAUGGAUCUCCAAGCAUCAAAGCUGGUGCUUAGUUGGCUUUUAACUUAAAAGUUUUGUUUCAUUUUAACAGAGAAUUCCAAAAUGAAACAAAACUUAUCUAUAGUUAUUCAGUAUUUUUUGAGUGGUAAUUAUGUGUUCAUUCACCUGAACAAUUGCAAUUAGUAUUAUUUCUUUGUAACCGAGACACAUUUUUAACUUUUUUUCCUCUCUUUCUUUGUAUUUUAUUUACUCUCUAAUGUCAGUCAUCAAUGUCAAUAUCAAGAAACUGUAGGCUGAGCAUGAUGGCUCAUUCCUAUAAUUUGGGGAUGCCAAGGCAGGAGGAUUACUUGAGCCCAGGAGUUUAAAACUAGCCACUAGCCUUCACCACAUAGCAAGACGUCAUCUCUACAAAAAAGUAAAAAAUUAGCUGGGUGGGGUGGCAUGAGUCUGUAGUCCUAGCUAGUCAGGAGGCUGAGGCAGGAGGAUCGCUUGAGCCCAGGAGUUCAAGAUUACAGUGAGCCAUGUGUGCACCCCUGCAUUACAGCCUGGGUGGCAGAGUAAGGCCUCAACUCAAAAAGAAAGAAAGAAAGAAAAAUCCAUGUACCCCAGUGUGUUGAAAUGUUGAUGUCCAGACAACUGGACUCUAAAGUCCAGUUCUGUCACUCAGCUCACCCCCAAAUAUCCAAUGUGUCAUGACUGCUUAUGUUAUAAGGGCUGAGUGGCCCUCUGGCUCCACCAUGGACUGUGUGUUUUCCAAGACCACCUUCAUAGGAAAAGCAAGACCUAAAGGGACCCUUUUGGGGGCUACUCCUAGAAAUGGCUUAUAAGACAUCUGUGCCCUAAUUCCUUUGGCUAACAUCCAGUCACAAGGCCCAACCAAAUUACAAGAGAGGCUAGGAAAUAUCUUCCCUAGUGUCCAGGAAGAGAAAAUCAUGUGGCAAAUAGCGUUCUCUCCACCACAGCCACACAGCUGUGUAACUUGGGUUACUUAACCUCCCUGAGCCUCAGCUUUCUUACUUGCAGAGAAGAGAUAAUAAUACCUACCUUGCAGAGCUUCUCUGUGGAUUAAAUAAAAAAAUACUUUAUUAAAUUGUUAUAUAUUAUUACUAAUAAUUAUAGUUUCUCACUAAACACAUACACAUACGUAGGACCCACAUCAUUAGCACCUGAACCUCUGGUCCUCUCUAGUCUGACCCUCUGCUGAUCCUUUCAUUGCUAUCCAGCCUGUCUGGGGUGCAGAACUUAAGGCAGGCAAGACUCUUGCCCCUGAUUUGUGACUGUCACUAGCAUUGUAGUCCACGAGCUAGGAUGUGAGAAACCAAAGCCAAGAUAGGGUGCUGAAAAUGAACCCUAGGUCCUUCACAAGUCUUAGGGGAAGGGCUAUAAAUGCAUUAAAGUGUAGAAGACAGACAGGAGAAUGAUCAGUUGUGUAAAAUUAUUAAAAGAGACCAAGUUUUAAGAUAGCAGCUGAGCCAGACACUGUGGCUUACACCUGUAAUCACAGCACGUUGGGAGGCUGAGGCAGGUCAGGAGUUCGAGACCAGCCUGGCCAACAUGGUGAAACCCCAUCUCUAUUAAAAAUACAGAAAGGAGCCGAGCCUGUAAUCCCAGCUACUCAGGAGGCUGAGGCAGGAGAAUCACUUGAACCCGGAAAGCGGAGGUUGCAGUGAGCAAAAAAAAAAAAAGAUAGCAGCUGAAAGAAAGGGGAAAAAAUGGACACAUAUUGAUAUUUCAAAAUUGGCAGGCAUCAUCAUGCCAAGGCUUUCACACGAGUGACUUCCUUUAAUUAUCACAAAGAUCCUUAGGUAAGAAUCAUUAACCCCAGUUUCCAGCAGUGUUAAAGUAACAUGCCCAGGCUCACAUAGCUAAAAAGUGACAGAGUUAAGAUUGAGUCUUCAGAGUCCUGGUGUUCUCUGUUCCGUGACAGCACUUCACACCUCUUAGUCAUGCUGAAUUGUGCCAAGGACCAAUAGAUCUCAGGGAAUAUACAGGAAGUGUGUCUUGUUCAGGAGAAAGACAAAUAGACCCAUUAUCUUCAAGCAAUUCCCCUUCUCCUGCUUCCCACAUGACCAAAAGCGAAGCUCAGAAUCAGCCUAGGGUACAAUAUAUUUCAGUUAAUGGCUCCCAAACACACACAAAUAUACUCUUACCUGUUUGCUAAUGUUUGAAACUCAUUUCGCUGACAGAGGCUACGAGGGUGUGCGUGGCAUUCCAUCCACAUGUGUGUAAGACCAUCCAUCUCAUUUGGGGCGUGUAGACGAUGGAAUGAUUUCACUGAGUAAAGCAGGAAUUUGGAUGAAGAACUUUCAAGCCAGGGCCACAGCCUCCUGACUUCAGUCUGACAGCUGCCUUCCCCUGUGCAACCAAAAAUUGGUCCAGAUGUAGCCUUGAGUCCCCUGUAGCCAUGCAGGCUUAGAAUAUGGUGGGAACUGGUACCACAGAACAGUCCCAUGAGAUGAACUCUGAGUACCAUGCCAUAAAGUGCCCUCAGGGAAUCCAAGUAUAUCCAAACAAACCAAGGGAUUUGGAGCUUAGCAUGUUACAGGAACAGUAUUAAAACAAAACUACUUCUGCAGCAGGACUGACAUGAAUAUAAGAUCAGGUUUUUCCAAUCUGUCAAAAUAAAUUUGUUUGGAAUUGUGAGCAAUAUAAACCCCGUAAGUUCCAGGCUCUCACUCUAUUUCUUAGACAUGUUAGGAUUCUACCCAGUGAUUUGAGCAUGUAUGAGAAGUAGUUUAUGACCCAGCAUGCCUCUCUUACUGUCAGUGUAUUUGGGACUCCUUUGUCUGUUCUAUAAAGUGGUGUCUUCUCUACAUUAAUUUUCAUGAAGAAUACUUAGAACAGUGUUUUCACCAUGUGAAAGGCAAUGCAAUGGAGUGGUUAAUGGUUGAGGGUGUGGCUCUGCAGCCAGAGUAACUUUGUGUGAACCCAGGCUUUAUAAUGUACAAGCUGUCUAACUUUAGGCACGUUACUUCCGUGUGCCUCAGUUUCCUUAUCUGUCAAACAAGGAGGUUAAUAGUGCUGCCUCGUAAGCUUGUUUCAAAGAUUAAAUAAUCAAAUAUAUAUAUAUAGCACUUAGAAAAGUGACUGACAUGGUAAGGGCUCAUUCUCUAGUGAGGUCCUCAGGAAUAAGAGAAAGGGGUGAGAGGGAGGCAAGAGCCAAGAGCCACAGUGCUGAUACAGGCGGUUUGACGGAGGAGAACUAACUCGGAUUUGUCUCACUAGCUCAUGUUCCGACAGUUAAGAAACAGAGAUCAGUGCUUCUCAAACUUCAGUGUGCUUAUGUCACCUCGAGAGCUUUCUCAUACGUGAGUUUUCGUCCAUUAGGUCCAAGUGCAGCUAAAGGUUCUGCAGUUCUCAUAGGGUCCCGGGUGACGCUGAGGCCGCUGGUCUGAAGAUCACCCUUUGAGGAGCAAGAGUUUAGAGAACACCUGUUCCUAAGUGCCACAUGGUCUCUUUCUUUUCUUCUUCUUCUUUUUUUUUUUUUUUUUUUGAGACAGAGAUUCACUCUUGUUGCCCAGGCUGGAGUGCAAUGGCGCAACCUCAGCUCACUGCAACCUCCGCCUCCCAGGUUCAAGCGAUUUUCCUGCCACAGCCUCCUGAGUAGUUGGGAUUAUGGGCAUGUGUCACCAUGCCCAGUUAAUUUUUGCAUUUUUAGUAGAGAUGGGGUUUCUCCAUGUUGGCCAGGCUGGUCUCGAACUCCUGACCUCAGGUGAUCCACCCACGUUAGCCUCCCAAAGUGCUGGGAUUACAGGUGUGAGCCACUGCGCCCAGCCUACAUGGUCUCUUUCUUAAGGUUGCACUCUCUAGGGAUCUAUUUACAAAGCCCUUUUGUCAAUUUUGGUCAUGGGUCUUGGGUCAAGAAAACAUUUGAAAAUAGAUAUUGCUUUAAGGAAAAUGGCAUAGGGAUUCAAUAUUGGAUUACAUGAAAUAUUUUGAAUUCUUAAGCAUUUUCUCCAAAAUGUGAUUUUUCCAAAAGUUAUUUUUCCUUUCUGAUCAUUUACAAAGCAAAAGAUUGAGAUUUUUUUUUAAGGUAGGCAAAAUGUCUCUGUCUGCUUUCCAAAUAGGGGUGGGAUCAGCAAAAGCAAACAUCUUGUCACAUGAUGACCGUCCCUUCCCAAGCAACCAGUGCUUUAAUUCUAACCUCAUGUGCAUUUCAAGAGAAAUGUAAAGCAGAUGGUUGUGUUCUGCUGAUACAUAAAUCACAGAAAUUUCUCAUAAAUUUUGUUUUCGUUGUUAAAAAGCUUCAAACUGCCAGGCAGUGUUUUGCUUAAACCAAAGAUGGGCCUGAGCGGACAGCUAAUGGAUGGACAUUCGGGUUUGAAAAGCUUAAAUUUAGUCAAAUGACCAUUUUUGACCUUAUGAUGACUCAAAUUCAGACUACGUUAAUUUCUAAUCCUUUAGUCAACUUCCUCACUAUCUGCUAUAGAUACUACUUCAUAGAAAUUCAAGCUAUCCAAAGACUUGAACACUGUGCGUGUGUUUUAAAAUGUCUACAGGCAAAAUCAACAAGCAUCAUUCCUAUUCUGGAGCAGCAAGGAGACCUCCGUAUCCCACCAAGCUACCUGUGACUAAUUCUUACUAAUUCCACCAAGAUCAUAAAGCAGUGCCUUCCAGUAAGAGUUGGCAAACGUUUUCUGUGAAUAGCCAGAUAGUAAGCAUUAUGGAUUUUGUGACUCAUGCAGUAUACUAGUUUGCUAAGGCAGCUGUAGCAAAGUACCGCAAACUGGGUGCUUUAAACAGUAAAAAUGGGUCAUCUUACAGUUCUGGAGACCAGACAUCUGAGAACAAGGUAUUGGCAGGGUUGGUUCUUUCUGAGAGCUGCAAGAAUCUGUUCCAUGCCUCUCUUGUAACUUGUGGUGGUUUGCUGGCAAUCCUUGACAUUCCUCUUCACGUGAUAUUAUCCCCGGGUGGAUAUCUGUGUCCCAGUUCACCCUUUUUAGAAGGAUACCAGUCAUGUUGAAUUAGGGGCCCACCCUACUCCAUAUGACCUCAUUCUAACUUAACUAAUUACAUCUGCAAAGACCACAUGUCCAAAUAAAGUCACAUUCAAAGGUGCUGGGGGUUAGGACUUCAGCAUAUGAAUUAGGGUGGGGUUUGGGAAGGACACAAUGCAUCCCAUAACAGUAUCUGUCAAUAGCAUAUGGCAUUCAUCUCAGCUAAUCAACUUUGCUCUUGAAGUGCAAAAGCAUCCAUGGAAAAAUACUUACACAAAUGGCAUGGCUGUGCCACAAUAAAGCUGUACUUAUGUGUUUCUUAAUAGAUGGCAAGCCUGUAGGCAGUAGUGUAUGAACACUUGCCUCAGAGUAGCUCUGAUUCUUUCUGAAUAUGAAAAAGAAAAAGACACACAUGAGGAGAUUUGGCACUUGGCAUAGAAGAGGAGAAAAAAACUUUGCAAGUUUUCAAAAUGCCUAUUUUACAUUUGUAAUUUCAGUCAUAAUGUUUUAUGUUUAGCUUUAAUGUCUUAUCUCUACAUUUGAAUGCACUCUGGAUAUGUGUACACAGUUUCAAUUAAGCCAAAUGAUAUAAAUUUUAUAAUGGUGACUCUAGUAAGAAUGAUACACGUUGUCUUCAGACUGUUAGUUCUAGAAUGACAGCAGAAUCUUUUCCAUUUAACAUUAUACCUGUAUGCUUUGCUUUUUUUUGUAUGAAUAUGUCUGAAACAUGAACAACUGCUUAUGAUUUGUAAUUUCUUUUUUUUUUUUUUUUUUUUGAGACGGAGUUUCACUGUUGUUACCCAGACUGGAGUGCAAUGGCGCGAUCUCAGCUCAUUGCAACCUCCUCCUCCUGGGUUCAAGCAAUUCUCCUGCCUCAGCCUCCCGAGUAGCUGGGACUACAGGUGCGCACCACCAUGCCCAGCCAAUUUUUGUAUUUUUAGUAGAGACGGGGUUUCACCACGUUGACCAGGAUGGUCUCGAUCUCUUGACCUCGUGAUCCACCCGCCUUGGCCUCCCAAAGUGCUGGGAUUAUAGGCAUGAGCCACCGCGCCCGGCCCGAUUUGUAAUUUCUUUAGAAAUGUAUCUAUAUUUAUCCUCUGUGAAUACACGUGUAUAUUCUUUUCCCUUUAAUAUUUAAUGUUUCUAGAGUACCUACAGGUAAUAUGUUAGGCUAUAUACAAUGAAUCCUGCACAAGACACAUUUUUCCAGACACAUACCCUCCUGGAAGGUGGGUAUACACACAAAGAAAAUAGAUAACAUACAACAUAUAUUCAAGCAUCAUGCAAAGAUUUACAGAUACCACUACCAUGAGAGGACCAUUGCUUUGUUCUGCUUGAGUCCAAAUAAAUGCAUAUAUGAAAAUCUCACGUCUUUAUACUGCAUAGUCACUUGGAACUUAAUGGAACCAAAUUAGAAAGUUCUGUGUAGGGUCAGAGAUGUACGAGCACUUUAAAAGGCUAUCAUGGAAAACUUGAAGGUUGACUAUGUAGUAAGGAAAAGAUUUAAUCGGGCACGUACUGUAUGUUUUGCAAUAGUAACGAAGGUCAUGCUACCAUUUAUAUUAAAACUUAGAUCCAGCUUAUUUUAUAUUAAAAUACCAGGCCUGGCAGGGCAUGGUGGCUCAUGCCUGUAAUCUCAGCACUUUGGAAAGCUGAUCUGGGUGGAUCACCUGAGGUCAGGGGUUCGAGACCAGCUUGACCAACACAGGGAAACCCCCAUCUCUACUAAAAACAGAAAAUUAGAUUACAGGCAUGGUGGCACAUGCCUGUAAUCUCAGCUACUCGGGAGGCUGAGGCAGAAGAAUCGCUUGAACACAGGAGGCGGAGGUCGUGGUGAACCGAGAUCGCCAUUGCCUUCCAGCCUGGGCAACAAGAGUGACACUCUGGAACUCUUCCUCUACAUGGGUGUAAAGGCAGCUAGAGUCAGAGGUCAGCAUCUGCUUGAACUUUUAAGGUAACAUACGUGCCAAUAGUGACAGGUCUUACUGAGGAUGAAACUCACAGGCUUCAGUAUUGGAUACUGGGGUCUCAUUCAGCUUCAGCAAAGAUGCCCCCUCAAAGUCACUUACCUAGAGUGCGCCAAGAUCGGCCUUGUAUUUAGAAGGUGAAAGAAAAUGCCUGCUAGAUUAUACAAAUUACAAAAUAGGUCAAAUUGGGAGAUUAAAUGAGUACCUCCUAAGCUUUCAAUCAGGUUUUUACCUUAAAGGCUUUCGGUUCAGAGAUUUUUAGAGCAAGUACCAACUGUGCUAACAUAUCUGAAAUGCUGUACAACUGAAAAUGUCAAAUGUGUAUGGCUUUAAUAAUCGUAACCAUUUUAGGUCCAAAGAAUACUUCUGAAAUCAUCAUUAAUAGAGUAUUCUCUUUGGAAUUAGAGAAACACUAUCACAUUUCCUGACUAAAGACCCAUGACUUUCAAUAACACAAGCCAACAUCUGCCUUUACACAUACAGUUGAUUCCAUAACCACAUGUGGGCUGACUUCAUAUUGCCCAAAAUGAGAUUUUUUUAUUGCAUCUUAGGUUUUGGGGUACAUGUGAAGAACAUGCAAGAUUGUUGCAUAGGUACACACAUGGCAGUGCGAUGUGCUGCCUUCCUCCCCGUCACCUGUAUCUGGCAUUUCUUCCCAUCAAAAUGAGAUUUGAACAUUGGUGAUGAAACUAGAGUUUUUCUUACAAAUAAAAAAAUAAAGCAUCCCUACAUUAUUUUUAACCUAGAAACUCUGUGAAUCUCUCGGAUUCUCUGGUUUGUAGUUUAGAAGCCAUUGUCCUAUCCUAAGAAUCUUCUGCACAUUUGUUUGGAGAUGGGGCAAUUUCUCUCAUUUCUUUGUACGUUUACUUAAAUAAAGGGAAGGGGCUUCCAUCCUCCCAUAAAACUAAAAAAGAAAAUGAAACUAAAUGGCUUUUGUUCUUCUCAACACUUUGCAAACUUUGACUAGGAAAUGAAGCACUACAGUGUGUCAGUGAAGAAUAAUGAUAAUAUUAAUAAUGAUGGUGAUGAUGAUGGUAAUGAUGAAUUAGACAGUGUAAUUCUCUUCUUAUUCUAAGUCUGAAAACUGAAGCAAAAUGAUGAAGUGCCUUUCCCAAGAUCAGCAGCUCCACAAUGAGAACUUGGGUUUGUCCUCCCUCACACAUCUUCUUCAGGGAGAACAAAUAUCACUAAUGUUCAUCCGCACCAGGAGAAAACCAUACUGGCCCAUUCAAUGGCCAAUUAGAAUAAAUUGUAUAUUAAGAAAAAUAUGAUAGGUGAUAGAAAAAUCAAAAGCUCUCUAAAGAAAAGGAACAAAAAACCUGAAUAAAUAAGCUUAACGGUCCAUUGUUUGUGGGAAAAAUGAUGAAAUUAUCAUCAAAAUAUCCUAUGAAUUGAGAAUGAAGAUACAUUUUUUAUGUAGAAAGAUUUUUACAAAAAAAAAAAUUCUACCCAGAAAAGUAAGACUCU